UACGGAGGGGGCUAGCGUUGUUCGGAAUUACUGGGCGUAAAGCGCACGUAGGCGGCUUUGUAAGUUAGAGGUGAAAGCCCAGGGCUUAACCCUGGAAUUGCCUUUAAGACUGCAUCGCUCGAAUUGUGGAGAGGUGAGUGGAAUUCCGAGUGUAGAGGUGAAAUUCGUAGAUAUUCGGAAGAACACCAGUGGCGAAGGCGGCUCACUGGACUGGUAUUGACGCUGAGGUGCGAAAGCGUGGGGAGCAAACAGG
rnacentral:rRNA from 1 species